AUUGAACGCUGGCGGCAGGCCUAACACAUGCAAGUCGAGCGGAUGAAGGGAGCUUGCUCCUGGAUUCAGCGGCGGACGGGUGAGUAAUGCCUAGGAAUCUGCCUGGCAGUGGGGGAUAACGUCCGGAAACGGGCGCUAAUACCGCAUACGUCCUGAGGGAGAAAGUGGGGGAUCUUCGGACCUCACGCUAUCAGAUGAGCCUAGGUCGGAUUAGCUAGUUGGUGGGGUAAAGGCCUACCAAGGCGACGAUCCGUAACUGGUCUGAGAGGAUGAUCAGUCACACUGGAACUGAGACACGGUCCAGACUCCUACGGGAGGCAGCAGUGGGGAAUAUUGGACAAUGGGCGAAAGCCUGAUCCAGCCAUGCCGCGUGUGUGAAGAAGGUCUUCGGAUUGUAAAGCACUUUAAGUUGGGAGGAAGGGCAGUAAGUUAAUACCUUGCUGUUUUGACGUUACCAAAAGAAUAAGCACCGGCUAACUUCGUG
rnacentral:rRNA from 1 species